rnacentral:rRNA from 1 species
UACGUAGGGCGCAAGCGUUGUCCGGAAUUAUUGGGCGUAAAGAGCUCGUAGGCGGUCUGUCGCGUCGGCUGUGAAAACCCGAGGCUCAACCUCGGGCCUGCAGUCGAUACGGGCAGACUAGAGUGCUGUAGGGGAGAUUGGAAUUCCUGGUGUAGCGGUGAAAUGCGCAGAUAUCAGGAGGAACACCGGUGGCGAAGGCGGGUCUCUGGGCAGUAACUGACGCUGAGGAGCGAAAGCGUGGGGAGCAAACAGG